GGCUCAGUGGUCUAGUCGUAUGAUUGCUGCUUCGGGUGGUCUAACAUCCAAUUCCUCCAAAAGGAAGUUGUAGCAGGUCCCGGGUUCAAAUCCCGGCUGAGCCC